GCAACAGGAAACGAAUUUCCUCAUCGUCGCAGUGAAAGCGCGCCGAACGCCGAACUGGCGUCGACGCACCCGGCAACCAGCCUCGGUGUCGAAACGGCGAUCCGCCGUGCGCGUGUAAGCUCUCUUAUCAUCUGACGGUGCUGCAACGGUACACGACUGCGGAAAGGAACUCAACAAGCGAGACACGUGGUUUCUCGCUCACGAGAGAGAGAGAGAGAGAGAGAGAUGGGCGGGGGAGGGGGGCUUUCCCGUCGCAAGCUAGUAACUCCAGUCUCACCCUGCAGCUUCAACGCGUCUGCGUGCCACCAGACAACAUGCGACCAAGGUCGAACCCUUGCCUCCUCUUCGACCGAUCCCCCUCCCCCAUCUCCUUUUCUUCCCUACCAGUCGCCGAGCUCCAACGCAACGCCAACGGCAACCUAGUGGACUGUCCUGCUUCGAACGACUUGUUGCCAGGGGAGCGGACACGGGACGCGGGUGGCCCGUGCGCUCAAGUUCACGCAGGCAGGAUCGGAGGCGGAGGAACGUCUGUGCAAGAAAGUCGACGUCGCGUCUGGAAUGGUAUUACACCGGUGCGAAAGGGGAGGCAUGAGCGGGGACUGACGAGCAUUUCUGCUAACGCUUCAAGCCACACCACCGUGAUGGCAUCGGCAAGGUGCCGGCUCGAAGAGGGUGCAGAGGUUGCGAAGCGGCCGUCCCUGUAUGCACUCCCGUUGCCCAAGCUGGAUGCCCACGAAGGCGGUCUCACCAGAGCCAAGUCAAUAAUAAGAACACUGAUGUGGUUGAUGACUCCCCCGAAGCGGACCCUGAGCUUCAAGGGACGCCGUGACGAAGCGCUCUCAUACUAUUUUGACCGCCGGCAAUUUGUUAAGAAAACACGAACAAUUUGAGCACCUGGAAACAUUUUGCACUUAGCCCAUAUUGAAGUUGAAGCUCCUAUCGGGACCGGCGAGCUCGCGCGAAGCGGCACAAACGGCACAACCUAUAUAUGAGCGACCGUGCAUGGUCGGUGUC